rnacentral:rRNA from 1 species
UCAGAUUGAACGCUGGCGGCAUGCCUUACACAUGCAAGUCGAACGGCAGCACGGGUGCUUGCACCUGGUGGCGAGUGGCGAACGGGUGAGUAAUACAUCGGAACAUGUCCUGUAGUGGGGGAUAGCCCGGCGAAAGCCGGAUUAAUACCGCAUACGAUCUACGGAUGAAAGCGGGGGACCUUCGGGCCUCGCGCUAUAGGGUUGGCCGAUGGCUGAUUAGCUAGUUGGUGGGGUAAAGGCCUACCAAGGCGACGAUCAGUAGCUGGUCUGAGAGGACGACCAGCCACACUGGGACUGAGACACGGCCCAGACUCCUACGGGAGGCAGCAGUGGGGAAUUUUGGACAAUGGGCGAAAGCCUGAUCCAGCAAUGCCGCGUGUGUGAAGAAGGCCUUCGGGUUGUAAAGCACUUUUGUCCGGAAAGAAAUCCUUGGCUCUAAUACAGUCGGGGGAUGACGGUACCGGAAGAAUAAGCACCGGCUAACUACGUGCCAGCAGCCGCGGUAAUACGUAGGGUGCAAGCGUUAAUCGGAAUUACUGGGCGUAAAGCGUGCGCAGGCGGUUUGCUAAGACCGAUGUGAAAUCCCCGGGCUCAACCUGGGAACUGCAUUGGUGACUGGCAGGCUAGAGUAUGGCAGAGGGGGGUAGAAUUCCACGU